rnacentral:lncRNA from 1 species
AAAAACCUAAACUAAAACCUCUGCGCCGCUUCGACGAAACGUCACCCCAGAGCCCUCUCCCCUCGCUGCAACUCCGAUGACUACGGAGAGAGUAAAGGUCCGGCCACCGGGUACGUUUCCCCUUUUCUUUUUACUAUUUCUUUUAACCAAAGGUUAAUGAGCUUCGAAAAUCAGAAAAAGAAAGACGGAAAAUGAAACUAAAUCAGCCAAAGAAGAAAGAAAUCCAGAAAUCACCUUUUUGAUCUUUCAAAAAAAAAUUUGUAUUUCGAAUGCGUGUGUUUUUUGUGUGUUUUUUUUUUCUCUCUGUUCCCUUACAAAAAAGCUCAGCCCUUGUUUUAUAGGCCGAGAUUAAAAAAUGAAAUCCCCCUCGAAUCCCUUCUUUUUUACAAUUUUUUAUCUUUUCCUAUUUUCUGAUUUGCUGGCGGUUUCAAUUCUUUUUGCUUGCUUUCUCUGCCUUUUCCGUUUGUUUGUCCUUCUUGCAGGUAUACAGACGCCGUACGGUGACGUGACGCGGCUCGACGCAGCGCAUGGAGGCGUGGCACGUAGCGGUGGCGCACGUGGGAAGGCGUGCGCGAGGGCAAAAGCUCGGCACGUGAGGACGAAGGCUUUGGUGGCUGCGGUGUGGCACGUACAGAUGCUAACUAGCGUGUGUGGAGGCUGCUAGGGUUUCUGACUUCUAGUUUAGGCCAGGAUAUUGGGCUUAGGUUUAGGCUAAUUUGGCUUAAAAACAGUUUCGGCCACAUUAGGCUCAUGUAUUUGGACUGUUUUUAUUGGACUUUUAAUUUUAUUUAUUAUUUUUUCUUGUUUUUUUUUUGCUUAUUCUGAAUGGACCCCGGGCAAAUUGGG